AUUGAACGCUGGCGGAAUGCUUUACACAUGCAAGUCGAACGGCAGCACGGACCUCGGUCUGGUGGCGAGUGGCGAACGGGUGAGUAAUGUAUCGGAACGUGCCCAGUCGUGGGGGAUAACGUAGUGAAAAUUACGCUAAUACCGCAUACGAUCUAUGGAUGAAAGCGGGGGAUCGCAAGACCUCGCGCGAUUGGAGCGGCCGAUAUCAGAUUAGGUAGUUGGUGGGGUAAAGGCCCACCAAGCCAACGAUCUGUAGCUGGUCUGAGAGGACGACCAGCCACACUGGAACUGAGACACGGUCCAGACUCCUACGGGAGGCAGCAGUGGGGAAUUUUGGACAAUGGGCGCAAGCCUGAUCCAGCCAUUCCGCGUGCAGGAUGAAGGCCCUCGGGUUGUAAACUGCUUUUGUACAGAACGAAAAGGUUUCUACUAAUACUAGGAGCUCAUGACGGUACUGUAAGAAUAAGCACCGGCUAACUACGUGCCAGCCGCCGCAGUAACAC
rnacentral:rRNA from 1 species